rnacentral:rRNA from 1 species
CCUACGGGUGGCAGCAGUGAGGAAUAUUGGUCAAUGGGCGGGAGCCUGAACCAGCGAAGAAGCGUGAAGGAAGAAGGCGCCAGGCGUCGUAAACUUCGUGUGUCGGGGAACAAAGGGCGCCACGCGUGGCGUUGGUAGUGGACCAGAAGAAAAAGCAUCGGCUAACUCCGUUCCAGCAGCCGCGGUAAUACGGAGGAUGCGCGCGUUAUCCGGAUUUCUUGGGUUUAAACGGUGCGUAGGCGGUCCGGAAAGUCAGCGGUAAAAGCCCGGGGCUCAACCCCGGCGAGCCGUUGAAACUGUCGGACUAGAGACGGCGAGAAGUACGCGGAAUGCGCGGUGUAGCGGUGAAAUGCAUAGAUAUCGCGCAGAACUCCGAUUGCGAAGGCAGCGUACCGGCGCCGGACUGACGCUGAGGCACGAAAGCGUGGGUAUCGAACAGGAUUAGAUACCCUGGUAGUC